rnacentral:hammerhead_ribozyme from 1 species
AUCCAGCCGACGAGUCCAAAAUGGGAGGAAACGCGCGUCCUGGAU